ensembl:lncRNA
CGUACGGUGCUCACUUAAAAAAUGCUCGCAGCCGGGUGGGUGUGCGGGACAGGGCUGAGAACACCGGGCUGGGGCCGGGGUUGGUGACCCCGAGGCCGUGCCGGUGGGGUGCUGCUGGGAGGGGGCCUGCCGUCCCCUUCGCUGGGCCACCUCGGAGCUGGGUGAGGGAUGAACGGGUGAUUUUUAGCUGGCAGUGGGCUGUUUGCGUGCUCGUACCUGGUGCUUGGUGUAAGGCAGGAGCUGGGAAGUGCUGCACAUGUGAAAGGUGCGUGUGCUGGGCACCUGUAUGGAGCGUGUGGGAAGGGGGAGAGGGCAGGACAGCAAGAGGGAGGGUCGCGCUGCUCUCGCUGUAGGAAAACACAGCGAUCCUGGUAACUUUGUUGCAAAGUUUUGGAGGGGCUCGCCUGGCUACUUCCGAGUUAAUUCAUUCAGUGGUAACAGUGUUGUGGAAACAGUUAAGCGCAAGGCAAAAGAAGCGGAGGAGGAUUUGUCACCGGCUGUUCUCUAAUCGGGGGCAGCGGGCAGUCAGGGAGCCCGGAGCGGCCCGCACUCAGCGGCCGGGCUGGGAGCCGAGCCGAGGGCAGGAGCACAGCCCGGCCGACAGCGGGGCCGGGCCGGGCCGCUCGGAGCAGGGACUGCGGGCCGCACCGCACCGGGCCGAGCCUCCAGGGCCCGCAGGGAGCGCGGCUCGAGCCCGGCGGCCCGACGCGGCCCGACCGAAAGGGAAGCGGGGUCGUGGGCCGGCGAGGGGCCGGCGGCCGCGGGGCCACCCCGGUGCCGCAGAGGGUUAACGCGGGCGGCGGCGGGCAGCUGGGAGUUGUAGGCGCCGCGGCAUGCCGGGAGCUGUCGUAAACGCCGCCGCCGCGCCCCGCCACCGCCAUGGCGGCCGCCUCGGUGCUGCCGGGCCCAGGCCCGUUGUACGGGGAGCGGCGGGGUUACGCUUCUGCGGUCGGAUCGGAUCGGAACGAGACGGGCCUGGCUGGGGUGGCGGGUCGCCUCGGUGCUCGCAGUUGGGCCACCUUCCGUGUGAUGAAGCAAUGCAGCUAAGCUGUAUGUUGCCUUAUGCUUGCAACACUGCAACCCCGAGGAAGAUUGCAUCUGCAGAGAUCUGCCUUCAUGCUUGGACUGAUAAGCGACGCUGGGGAAGCAUCUUGGCAAGAUGCUGCUGCAGUAUCCUGUCUCCUCAUUGCAUCGCCCUCUGGAAGACAGAAGUGAUGAUCAGCAGCGUGGUGUUGUCCUGCAGGCAGUUGAAGAACCACUUUGACAGCUAACAGGAGGACAACUAUGCAGUGUAAUCACAGCCUGUCUGUGCUCUUUCUGACAAUGUACAGUAGCACCCUAUUCCCAGUGAGGGGAUGCUGUAACCUCCCUCAGAUGAUCUGUAUUCUUCUCUGUUACUGUAACCAAGCUGUUCCUUUCUCACAGCCACGCAUUCCUGCAGAAAUACCAAGGAUUCCCUGUGCAGAUUAAGUAAGGUUUACAAACUCAGGAACUCCAAAAGGGAGAAUGAAGUAAUUCCAGAUCAUUUGCACUAUGGCUGAUACAGUUAGCAGGAGGGCUAAUUUGAUGUGUGUGGGUCUGCUGUGGGAGAGAAGGAAACCUGGGAACAAUCUGUCUCCUGUUAGACCUGCUGUAAGUGCUGUGUGAUAAGGGUGUAUUGCCAAACUUAGCCAUAAAGCUGCAGGUUAGGCAGCAGGAUGGGGCUUGCCCCGGUUCCUGCUUGCAGCUGCAUGGAAGCUGUGCCUUGGAUCCCACAGGGUUUUAAUCCCACUGCAGACUAUGGCUGUUCACAAGGUCACAAACGCAGACCUUUGUUUUCUAUUGAUUAUAUGGUUUUGAGUGGAAGAAUUGUUUUUUAUCUAUUUAUUUUGAUAUUUACAUAUGUAUUUAUUUCUUUAAUAAAUCAAUGAAACGAAUCA